AGGCUGUCCACAAGGUUGCGGAGUGUUUUUUCGACCAUUAUUCCAAAAGUGCAUGGGUGGGAUCACACAUGUUGGACAAAAAGGCCUGUCUCACAAUCUCCGUUCUAAUUCACCCCAAAUGUGUUCAGGUCAGGACUCUGUGCAGGCCAGUCAAGUUCAUCCACACCAGACUCUGUCAUUCAUGUCUUUAUGGACCUUGCUUUGUGCACUGGUGCACAGUCAUGUUGGAAGAGGAAAUGGCCUCUUUCAAACUCUUCCCACAAACUCUUCUCACUAAAAAUCUAUUACAGCUUCAACUUAUUCUGGGAAGGCUGUCCACAAGGUUGCGGAGUGUUUUUUUUCGACUAUUCUUCCAAAAGUGCAUUGGUGAGGUCACACAUGUUGCGACCAUUCUUCCAAAAGUGCAUUGGUCAGGACUCUGUGCAGGCCAGUCAAGUUCAUCCACACCAGACUCUGUCAUUCAUGUCUUUAUGGACCUUGCUUUGUGCACCGGUGCACAGUCAUGUUGGAAGAGGAAAUGUCCUGUUUCAAACUCUUCCCACAUGGUUGGGAGCAUUGAAUUGUCCAAAAUAUUUUGGCAUUCAAAGUUUAUUUCACUGGAAUAAACUGAAAAACAACGGCAAUCCAAUCCAAUCCAAUCCACUUUAUUUAUAUAGCACAUUUAAACAACAAUAAUGUUUCCAAAGUGCUGCACAGCCAUGUUAAAAACAAUAUUAUGCUCCACCAAUGACUGAACAAAACAAAAAAUGAAUAAAAA